rnacentral:misc_RNA from 1 species
GCCUUCGAUGUAACUCUUAUGUUGCAUGAUUGCAGCCCUAUAAGUCUCUGUUCGUACACGAUCUUUGAUCAUCUCUUCAUGGAUACCAACGUGAGCGUAGGAAUGAAAGUAUGCCAACAAGGAGUGACCUUCUGCUCACCCUCCCGCUGCUGCUGUUCUCCGGAAACCCUAAAACCAUCUCUGGAUUCGCGAGAGCGACCGCCACGUGCCCCUCUUCUGGCUCGUUCCCGGUGACUAGCCCCAACUCGUUGCGGCUGG